rnacentral:rRNA from 1 species
GACGAACGCUGGCGGCGUGCUUAACACAUGCAAGUCGAACGGUGAUGCUCCAGCUUGCUGGAGUGGAUCAGUGGCGAACGGGUGAGUAACACGUGAGCAACCUGCCCCAGACUCUGGAAUAAGCGCUGGAAACGGCGUCUAAUACUGGAUACGAAACUGGCCCGCAUCGGCAUGGUUUGGAAAGUUUUUCGGUUUGGGAUGGGCUCGCGGCCUAUCAGCUUGUUGGUGAGGUAAUGGCUCACCAAGGCGACGACGGGUAGCCGGCCUGAGAGGGCGACCGGCCACACUGGGACUGAGACACGGCCCAGACUCCUACGGGAGGCAGCAGUGGGGAAUAUUGCACAAUGGGCGAAAGCCUGAUGCAGCGACGCCGCGUGAGGGAUGACGGCCUUCGGGUUGUAAACCUCUUUCAGCAGGGAAGAAGCGAAAGUGACGGUACCUGCAGAAGAAGCACCGGCUAACUACGUG